rnacentral:rRNA from 1 species
UACAGAGGUCUCAAGCGUUGUUCGGAUUCAUUGGGCGUAAAGGGUGCGUAGGUGGCGCCGUAAGUCAGGUGUGAAAUCUCGGGGCUCAACCCCGAAACUGCACUUGAUACUGCGGUGCUCGAGUACUGGAGAGGAGAUUGGAAUUUACGGUGUAGCAGUGAAAUGCGUAGAUAUCGUAAGGAAGACCAGUGGCGAAGGCGGGUCUCUGGACAGUUCCUGACACUGAGACACGAAGGCCAGGGGAGCAAACGGG